GCUUUCUUAGCUCAGUGGUAGAGUGCGUGGCUUUUAACCACGUGGUUGUGGGUUUGACCCCCACGGACGGUG
rfam:Ipomoea nil DNA, scaffold: scaffold3322, cultivar: Tokyo-kokei standard.